AUGUCUCAGCUUAAGCUUUCUUACAACAGUGCUGUGCAUGGCUCAUUAGAACAGCUACAAUUAAGUGGAUGGUUGCUAUACAUGGACAUCUGUGGCAAUUCUGUGGCUAAUACAUGCUCAUUGGCUCAGUCAGCAUGGGUUGUGGUCAUUUUUCUCAGAAUCAAUGCAGGCGAUUCCUGCGUGCAACUCCAAGAAGAGUGACAGAAUGGAUUGCGAAGUUUUCACUGGUGCUGUGCCUUGAAAGCUUCUGACCUAUCAGCUGUCGACGGCAGGGUGGUGGCCUGCUGUGGCUGUGACAGGUGACGGAGGAUGAGGGUUUGACUCCGGAGAGGGAGCCUGAGAGAUGGCUACCACAUCUAAGGAAGGCAGCAGGCGCGCAAAUUGCCCAAUCCCAACAGAGGGAGGUAGUGACAAGAAAUAGCAAUGCAAGGCAUCCAUGUUUUGUACUUGGAAUGAAUGGCUGGCAAACUUUGUCUUUAGGAUCAAUUGGAGGGCAAGUCUGGUGCCAGCAGCCGCGGUAAUUCCAGCUCCAAUGGUAUAUAUUGGAGUUGUUGCGGUUAAAGGGCUCGUAGUUGGAUCUCUGCUGGGGAUGCCUGGUCCGCCCU
rnacentral:rRNA from 1 species